GUGCCAGCAGCCGCGGUAAUACGUAGGGUGCGAGCGUUGUCCGGAAUUACUGGGCGUAAAGAGCUCGUAGGUGGUUUGUCGCGUCGUCUGUGAAAUUCCGGGGCUUAACUCCGGGCGUGCAGGCGAUACGGGCUGACUUGAGUGCUGUAGGGGAGACUGGAAUUCCUGGUGUAGCGGUGAAAUGCGCAGAUAUCAGGAGGAACACCGAUGGCGAAGGCAGGUCUCUGGGCAGUAACUGACGCUGAGGAGCGAAAGCAUGGGUAGCGAACAGGAUUAGAUACCCUGGUAGUCCGUGCCGUAAACGGUGGGCGCUAGGUGUAGGGGGCUUCCACGUCUUCUGUGCCGUAGCUAACGCAUUAAGCGCCCCGCCUGGGGAGUACGGCCGCAAGGCUAAAACUCAAAGGAAUUGACGGGGGCCCGCACAAGCGGCGGAGCAUGUGGAUUAAUUCGAUGCAACGCGAAGAACCUUACCUGGGCUUGACAUACACCAGAUAGGGCCAGGGAUGGUCUUUCCCUUUGUGGUUGGUGUACAGGUGGUGCAUGGUUGUCGUCAGCUCGUGUCGUGAGAUGUUGGGUUAAGUCCCGCAACGAGCGCAACCCUUGUCUUAUGUUGCCAGCACGUUAUGGUGGGGACUCGUGAGAGACUGCCGGGGUUAACUCGGAGGAAGGUGGGGAUGACGUCAAAUCAUCAUGCCCCUUAUGUCCAGGGCUUCACACAUGCUACAAUGGUCGGUACAGAGGGCUGCGAUACCGCAAGGUGGAGCGAAUCCCAAAAAGCCUGUCUCAGUUCGGAUUGGGGUCUGCAACUCGACCCCAUGAAGUCGGAGUCGCUAGUAAUCGCAGAUCAGCAACGCUGCGGCGAAUACGUUCCCGGGCCUUGUACACACCGCCCGUCAAGUCAUGAAAGUCGGUAACACCCGAAGCCGGUGGCCUAACCUUUUGGAGGGAGCCGUCGAAGGUGGGAUCGGUGAUUAGGACUAAGUCGUAACAAGGUA
rnacentral:rRNA from 1 species